rnacentral:piRNA from 1 species
UGAAGCCUCUUGUCCAGGUGUCUCUGCAUGC